UACGUAGGGUGCGAGCGUUAAUCGGAAUUACUGGGCGUAAAGCGUGCGCAGGCGGUUCGUUGUGUCGGCGGUGAAAGCCCCGGGCUCAACCUGGGAGUGGCCGUUGAAACUGGCGAACUGGAGUGUGGCAGAGGGGGGUGGAAUUCCACGUGUAGCAGUGAAAUGCGUAGAGAUGUGGAGGAACACCGAUGGCGAAGGCAGCCCCCUGGGCUAACACUGACGCUCAUGCACGAAAGCGUGGGGAGCAAACAGG
rnacentral:rRNA from 1 species